rnacentral:rRNA from 1 species
UACGUAGGUGGCAAGCGUUAUCCGGAUUUAUUGGGUGUAAAGGGCGUGUAGGCGGGAAUGCAAGUCAGAUGUGAAAACUCAGGGCUCAACCCUGAGCCUGCAUUUGAAACUGUAUUUCUUGAGUGCUGGAGAGGCAAUCGGAAUUCCGUGUGUAGCGGUGAAAUGCGUAGAUAUACGGAGGAACACCAGUGGCGAAGGCGGAUUGCUGGACAGUAACUGACGCUGAGGCUCGAAAGCGUGGGGAGCAAACAGG